rnacentral:rRNA from 1 species
AUUGAACGCUGGCGGCAUGCCUUGCACAUGCAAGUCGAGCGGCAGCACGGGUGCUUGCACCUGGUGGCGAGUGGCGAACGGGUGAGUAAUACAUCGGAACAUGUCCUGUGGUGGGGGAUAGCCCGGCGAAAGCCGGAUUAAUACCGCAUACGAUCUACGGAUGAAAGCGGGGGACCUUCGGGCCUCGCGCUAUCGGGUUGGCCGAUGGCUGAUUAGCUAGUUGGUGGGGUAAAGGCCUACCAAGGCGACGAUCAGUAGCUGGUCUGAGAGGACGACCAGCCACACUGGGACUGAGACACGGCCCAGACUCCUACGGGAGGCAGCAGUGGGGAAUUUUGGACAAUGGGCGAAAGCCUGAUCCAGCAAUGCCGCGUGUGUGAAGAAGGCCUUCGGGUUGUAAAGCACUUUUGUCCGGAAAGAAAUCCUUGGCCCUAAUACGGUCGGGGGAUGACGGUACCGGAAGAAUAAGCACCGGCUAACUACGUG